rnacentral:rRNA from 1 species
UGGGGAAUAUUGGACAAUGGGCGAAAGCCUGAUCCAGCCAUGCCGCGUGUGUGAAGAAGGUCUUCGGAUUGUAAAGCACUUUAAGUUGGGAGGAAGGGCAGUAAGUUAAUACCUUGCUGUUUUGACGUUACCGACAGAAUAAGCACCGGCUAACUCUGUGCCAGCAGCCGCGGUAAUACAGAGGGUGCAAGCGUUAAUCGGAAUUACUGGGCGUAAAGCGCGCGUAGGUGGUUUGUUAAGUUGGAUGUGAAAGCCCCGGGCUCAACCUGGGAACUGCAUCCAAAACUGGCAAGCUAGAGUACGGUAGAGGGUGGUGGAAUUUCCUGUGUAGCGGUGAAAUGCGUAGAUAUAGGAAGGAACACCAGUGGCGCAGGCGACCACCUGGACUGAUACUGACACUGAGGUGCGAAAGCGUGGGGAGCAAACA